rnacentral:rRNA from 1 species
AUGGCUCAGGAUGAACGCUAGCUACAGGCUUAACACAUGCAAGUCGAGGGGCAGCAGGAUCUUAGCUUGCUAAGAUUGCUGGCGACCGGCGCACGGGUGAGUAACGCGUAUCCAACCUUCCCCUUAGUAGGGCAUAGCCCGAUGAAAAUCGGAUUAAUACCCUAUGUUUUCCAAUGAGGACAUCUGAGCUGGAACAAAGAUUCAUCGCUAAGGGAUGGGGAUGCGUCCGAUUAGGUAGUCGGCGGGGUAACGGCCCACCGAGCCAUCGAUCGGUAGGGUUCUGAGAGGAAGGUCCCCCACAUUGGAACUGAGACACGGUCCAAACUCCUACGGGAGGCAGCAGUGAGGAAUAUUGGUCAAUGGGCGAGAGCCUGAACCAGCCAAGUAGCGUGCAGGAUGACGGCCCUAUGGGUUGUAAACUGCUUUUAUGCGGGGAUAAAGUUCGCCACGUGUGGCGUUUUGUAGGUACCGCAUGAAUAAGGACCGGCUAAUUCCGUGCCAGCAGCGGC